rnacentral:rRNA from 1 species
GCAGAGCACUCUACGGGAGGCAGCAGUGGGGAAUAUUGCACAAUGGGCGCAAGCCUGAUGCAGCCAUGCCGCGUGUAUGAAGAAGGCCUUCGGGUUGUAAAGUACUUUCAGCAGUGAGGAAGGUGGGUAUGUUAAUAGCAUAUUCAUUUGACGUUAGCUGCAGAAGAAGCACCGGCUAACUCCGUGCCAGCAGCCGCGGUAAUACGGAGGGUGCGAGCGUUAAUCGGAAUUACUGGGCGUAAAGCGCAUGCAGGUGGUUUGUUAAGUCAGAUGUAGAAACGCCCGGGGCUCAACCUCGGAAUUGCAUUUGAAACUGGACAAACUAGAGUACUGUAGAGGGGGUAGAAUUUCAGGUGUAGCGGUGAAAUGCGUAGAGAUCUGAAGGAAUACCGGUGGCGAAGGCGGCCCCCUGGACAGAUACUGACACUCAGAUGCGAAAGCGUGGGGAGCAAACAGGAUUAGAUACCCUGUAG